CUGAGGCACCGCCCGCCCGCCACUCUGCCUCUCCGCCCCGCCGUCAUGUGGGAGCUUCGGCCGCUCCUCCUCGGCCUCGAGGUCGGCGGCUGCGGAGCGCCUCGGUUCCGAAGCGCGGUCUGAAAGGGCUCCCCAGGCGGCGGCUGUGCCGUUAUAGGAAAAAAGUGAGCGUGGAGUGUGUUAUCCCGAGCACCACUGCGAUGCUGGGCUGAGGAGUUCGUGAGGCUUUGUUCUUCCAGUCUCACAGCCUCCAGGGUAUGCUGGGACCCCCGAGCCAUGUCUGUCUGUGACCCAGAAUGGUGUGUGCUAAUGGACUUGUAGAUGACUUCACUGGGA
ensembl:lncRNA